GGUUAAGCGACUAAGCGUACACGGUGGAUGCCCUGGCAGUCAGAGGCGAUGAAGGACGUGCUAAUCUGCGAAAAGCGUCGGUAAGGUGAUAUGAACCGUUAUAACCGGCGAUGUCCGAAUGGGGAAACCCAGUGUGAUUCGUCACACUAUCGUUAACUGAAUACAUAGGUUAACGAGGCGAACCGGGGGAACUGAAACAUCUAAGUACCCCGAGGAAAAGAAAUCAACCGAGAUUCCCCCAGUAGCGGCGAGCGAACGGGGAGCAGCCCAGAGUCUGAAUCAGCUUGUGUGUUAGUGGAACGGUCUGGAAAGUCCGACGGUACAGGGUGAUAGUCCCGUACACCAAAAUGCACAGGCUGUGAACUCGAAGAGUAGGGCGGGACACGUGGUAUCCUGUCUGAAUAUGGGGGGACCAUCCUCCAAGGCUAAAUACUCCUGACUGACCGAUAGUGAACCAGUACCGUGAGGGAAAGGCGAAAAGAACCCCGGCGAGGGGAGUGAAAAAGAACCUGAAACCGUGUACGUACAAGCAGUGGGAGCACCUUCGGGUGUGACUGCGUACCUUUUGUAUAAUGGGUCAGCGACUUAUAUUCUGUAGCAAGGUUAACCGUAUAGGGGAGCCGCAGGGAAACCGAGUCUUAACUGGGCGUUAAGUUGCAGGGUAUAGACCCGAAACCCGGUGAUCUAGCCAUGGGCAGGUUGAAGGUUGGGUAACACUAACUGGAGGACCGAACCGACUAAUGUUGAAAAAUUAGCGGAUGACUUGUGGCUGGGGGUGAAAGGCCAAUCAAACCGGGAGAUAGCUGGUUCUCCCCGAAAGCUAUUUAGGUAGCGCCUCGUGAAUUCAUCUUCGGGGGUAGAGCACUGUUUCGGCUAGGGGGUCAUCCCGACUUACCAACCCGAUGCAAACUACGAAUACCGAAGAAUGUUAUCACGGGAGACACACGGCGGGUGCUAACGUCCGUCGUGAAGAGGGAAACAACCCAGACCGCCAGCUAAGGUCCCAAAGUCAUGGUUAAGUGGGAAACGAUGUGGGAAGGCACAGACAGCCAGGAUGUUGGCUUAGAAGCAGCCAUCAUUUAAAGAAAGCGUAAUAGCUCACUGGUCGAGUCGGCCUGCGCGGAAGAUGUAACGGGGCUAAACCAUGCACCGAAGCUGCGGCAGCGACACUAUGUGUUGUUGGGUAGGGGAGCGUUCUGUAAGCCUGCGAAGGUGACCUGUGAGGGUUGCUGGAGGUAUCAGAAGUGCGAAUGCUGACAUAAGUAACGAUAAAGCGGGUGAAAAGCCCGCUCGCCGGAAGACCAAGGGUUCCUGUCCAACGUUAAUCGGGGCAGGGUGAGUCGACCCCUAAGGCGAGGCCGAAAGGCGUAGUCGAUGGGAAACAGGUUAAUAUUCCUGUACUUGGUGUUACUGCGAAGGGGGACGGAGAAGGCUAUGUUAGCCGGGCGACGGUUGUCCCGGUUUAAGCAUGUAGGCUGGUUGUCCAGGCAAAUCCGGAUAAUCAAGGCUGAGGUGUGAUGACGAGGCACUACGGUGCUGAAGUAACAAAUGCCCUGCUUCCAGGAAAAGCCUCUAAGCAUCAGGUAACAUCAAAUCGUACCCCAAACCGACACAGGUGGUCAGGUAGAGAAUACCAAGGCGCUUGAGAGAACUCGGGUGAAGGAACUAGGCAAAAUGGUGCCGUAACUUCGGGAGAAGGCACGCUGGUGUGUAGGUGAAGUCCCUGCGGAUGGAGCUGAGACCAGUCGAAGAUACCAGCUGGCUGCAACUGUUUAUUAAAAACACAGCACUGUGCAAACACGAAAGUGGACGUAUACGGUGUGACGCCUGCCCGGUGCCGGAAGGUUAAUUGAUGGGGUUAUCCGUAAGGAGAAGCUCUUGAUCGAAGCCCCGGUAAACGGCGGCCGUAACUAUAACGGUCCUAAGGUAGCGAAAUUCCUUGUCGGGUAAGUUCCGACCUGCACGAAUGGCGUAAUGAUGGCCAGGCUGUCUCCACCCGAGACUCAGUGAAAUUGAACUCGCUGUGAAGAUGCAGUGUACCCGCGGCAAGACGGAAAGACCCCGUGAACCUUUACUAUAGCUUGACACUGAACAUUGAGCCUUGAUGUGUAGGAUAGGUGGGAGGCUUUGAAGCGUGGACGCCAGUCUGCGUGGAGCCAACCUUGAAAUACCACCCUUUAAUGUUUGAUGUUCUAACGUUGGCCCCUGACCGGGGUUGCGGACAGUGUCUGGUGGGUAGUUUGACUGGGGCGGUCUCCUCCCAAAGCGUAACGGAGGAGCACGAAGGUUAGCUAAUCCUGGUCGGACAUCAGGAGGUUAGUGCAAUGGCAUAAGCUAGCUUGACUGCGAGCGUGACGGCGCGAGCAGGUGCGAAAGCAGGUCAUAGUGAUCCGGUGGUUCUGAAUGGAAGGGCCAUCGCUCAACGGAUAAAAGGUACUCCGGGGAUAACAGGCUGAUACCGCCCAAGAGUUCAUAUCGACGGCGGUGUUUGGCACCUCGAUGUCGGCUCAUCACAUCCUGGGGCUGAAGUAGGUCCCAAGGGUAUGGCUGUUCGCCAUUUAAAGUGGUACGCGAGCUGGGUUUAGAACGUCGUGAGACAGUUCGGUCCCUAUCUGCCGUGGGCGCUGGAGAAUUGAGGGGGGCUGCUCCUAGUACGAGAGGACCGGAGUGGACGCAUCACUGGUGUUCGGGUUGUCAUGCCAAUGGCACUGCCCGGUAGCUAAAUGCGGAAGAGAUAAGUGCUGAAAGCAUCUAAGCACGAAACUUGCCCCGAGAUGAGUUCUCCCUGAGACUUUAAGUCUCCUGAAGGAACGUUAAAGACGAUGACGUUGAUAGGCCGGGUGUGUAAGCGCAGCGAUGCGUUGAGCUAACCGGUACUAAUGAACCGUGAGGCUUAACCUU
rnacentral:rRNA from 2 species